AAAUUGUAAUUGGAAAGAAAAAACGGGCCUGGAGUUUGAACGGGAAGAAAGAUAGAAGGAACAUAUCAAAGAUUAAAAACCCAAUUACAAGUAAUCGUGAUUAAUAAUGGUGAGUUCAUCUUUAGCUGAGUAAAGUAGAAGAUGGCUAGGGUUUCGAAUUGGUGGACUCACACUAAAACAUUAUUAAUAAUCUGGUUCAUCUCUUCACUCACCUUCUAUUCUCUGCUUCGUAUGGCUCUUUUCAAUGCUUCUCGCGAUUCUCCCCCCGAUUCUUCUUCAGUAAAUGUAGUUGCUAAAGAUUCUCGAGCAAGGCUGUAUAACAAGAUGGCGAGGGAUUUACAUGAAAAAGGAGCACUCUUUCUCAAACAAGGGGAAACUUCACAAUCCUUGUCACUUUCUGAUAUCUUUUCUCUGAAGGAUGGAUCUGUCACCCCUAUCCUCAAGGCUGCAGAUCCUCCAGUACGAGCUAAUGUAUUGCACCUAAGCCCUCAGCAGUCAUUUCCAAUCUCGGAAGCUGUAAGGAAUAUUUUUCUUCCGCACUUCAAUAAAGUGAUAUGGUUUCAGAAUUCUAGCAUGUACCAUUUUAGCAUGUAUCAUGCUUCCCACCACAUUGUACCCGUGCCUGCUACAGCUGUGGAGAUUGAAGCUGAGGCAAAUGCAGUUAAAGCUGUUGCAAAGACUGUAUGCCCAUUAAAAAUUGUUUUAGAUAGGGUGGUUUUGACUUCAACAGGUGUGGUUUUGGGCUGUUGGCAGGUCCUUUCUGGAACAGAUCCUGUAACAAUUCGUGCUAAAUUGAAAACUGCCCUUCCACGUUCUCCAGAAAAGCAACUUUAUGAUAAUGUGAUGCUUCACACCUCAUUUGCAAGGCUUCUUGGUCGUCCCAAUACUUACCCUAAGGAGGUUGAUAAAACUUUCGAGCUUAAGUUCUUUGAUGAGCUAGUAACUCGUGCGAACAACCAACUCAGUGGGUUUCAGGCAACUGUUACAGAGCUCUGGUAUGUGGAAGAAUAUGAUGUCCUGGCACUUGCAUUGAAUGGAAGAAUGAAGGCUCGCAAAUUCCAACUUGGCUGUUCAAAUGCAUGAAGUUACCGAAGUUUGAUAAUAAUGACAAUUCGCCUGCAAGAAUCUGUCAUAUAACUUUCAUCUUAUUGCUCAGCUGAAACAGUGAUCGAAGGGGAUUACCGUGGCUUGAACUCGUUAGAUUGUGUUUUCCAUUUUCGAGUUGAAGGUGAAUAGUACCUGAGGCUGAUUAUGAACCCUUGUUUUUAUUUGAAAUUUAUUUUUCUGGUUGUUUUUUAUUUGUAAAUUUGUUUACAUGUGCUUUGUGAGGUUAGUGUGUAUAGUAUAUAUCGAUUUUCAUUUCGUCCGCUGAAAAGUUUUUCGAGUUAAUGAUCUUGUAUAUAACUGUUACCG